GGGUUGUGAGGUUAAGUGACUAAGCGUACACGGUGGAUGCCUAGGCAGUCAGAGGCGAUGAAGGGCGUGCUAAUCUGCGAAAAGCGUCGGCAAGGUGAUAUGAACCGUUAUACCCGACGAUACCCGAAUGGGGAAACCCAGUGCAAUCCGUUGCACUAUCAUGUCAUGAAUACAUAGUGGCAUGAGGCGAACCGGGGGAACUGAAACAUCUCAGUACCCCGAGGAAAAGAAAUCAACCGAGAUUCCCCCAGUAGCGGCGAGCGAACGGGGAGGAGCCCAGAACCUGAAUCAGUUUGAGUCUUAGUGGAAGCGUCUGGAAAGUCGCACGACAGAGGGUGAUAGUCCCGUACACGAAGAGGCAUGAGCUGUGAGUUCGACGAGUAGGGCGGGACACGUGUUAUCCUGUCUGAAUAUGGGGGGACCAUCCUCCAAGGCUAAAUACUCCUGACUGACCGAUAGUGAACCAGUACCGUGAGGGAAAGGCGAAAAGAACCCCGGCGAGGGGAGUGAAAUAGAACCUGAAACCGUGUACGUACAAGCAGUGGGAGCAUCCUUCGGGGUGUGACUGCGUACCUUUUGUAUAAUGGGUCAGCGACUUAUAUUCUGUAGCAAGGUUAACCGCAUAGGGGAGCCGCAGGGAAACCGAGUCUUAACUGGGCGUUAAGUUGCAGGGUAUAGACCCGAAACCCGGUGAUCUAGCCAUGGGCAGGUUGAAGGUUGGGUAACACUAACUGGAGGACCGAACCGACUAAUGUUGAAAAAUUAGCGGAUGACUUGUGGCUGGGGGUGAAAGGCCAAUCAAACCGGGAGAUAGCUGGUUCUCCCCGAAAGCUAUUUAGGUAGCGCCUCGUGAAGUCAUCUUCGGGGGUAGAGCACUGUUUCGACUAGGGGGCCAUCCCGGCUUACCAACUCGAUGCAAACUGCGAAUACCGAAGAAUGUUAUCACGGGAGACACACGGCGGGUGCUAACGUCCGUCGUGAAGAGGGAAACAACCCAGACCGCCAGCUAAGGUCCCAAAGUCAUGGUUAAGUGGGAAACGAUGUGGGAAGGCCCAGACAGCCAGGAUGUUGGCUUAGAAGCAGCCAUCAUUUAAAGAAAGCGUAAUAGCUCACUGGUCGAGUCGGCCUGCGCGGAAGAUGUAACGGGGCUAAACCAUGCACCGAAGCUGCGGCAGCGACGCUUAGGCGUUGUUGGGUAGGGGAGCGUUCUGUAAGCCUGCGAAGGUGGCCUGUGAGGGCUGCUGGAGGUAUCAGAAGUGCGAAUGCUGACAUAAGUAACGAUAAUGCGGGUGAAAAACCCGCACGCCGGAAGACCAAGGGUUCCUGUCCAACGUUAAUCGGGGCAGGGUGAGUCGACCCCUAAGGCGAGGCCGAAAGGCGUAGUCGAUGGGAAACAGGUUAAUAUUCCUGUACUUGGUGUUACUGCGAAGGGGGGACGGAGAAGGCUGGGUUAUCCGGGCGACGGUUGUCCCGGUUUAAGCGUGUAGGUGGGUGUUUUUGGUAAAUCCGGAACACCGUUAACACUGAGGCGUGACGACGAGUCACUACGGUGAUGAAGUAACCGAUGCCAAGCUUCCAGGAAAAGCCUCUAAGCUCCAGGUAACACGAAAUCGUACCCCAAACCGACACAGGUGGUCAGGUAGAGAAUACCCAGGCGCUUGAGAGAACUCGGGUGAAGGAACUAGGCAAAAUGGUGCCGUAACUUCGGGAGAAGGCACGCUGGCGUUGGUGAAGGGACUGGCUCCCGGAGCUGAUACCAGUCGCAGAUACCAGCUGGCUGCAACUGUUUAAUAAAAACACAGCACUGUGCAAACACGAAAGUGGACGUAUACGGUGUGACGCCUGCCCGGUGCCGGAAGGUUAAUUGAUGGGGUCAGCCGCAAGGCGAAGCUCUUGAUCGAAGCCCCGGUAAACGGCGGCCGUAACUAUAACGGUCCUAAGGUAGCGAAAUUCCUUGUCGGGUAAGUUCCGACCUGCACGAAUGGCGUAAUGAUGGCCAGGCUGUCUCC
rnacentral:rRNA from 1 species